GACGAACGCUGGCGGCGUGGAUUAGGCAUGCAAGUCGAACGGUAUAAACCUUUCGGGGUUUAGAGAGUGGCGAACGGGUGAGUAACACGUAGGUAAUCUACCCUCAAAACGGGGACAACCCAGGGAAACUUGGGCUAAUACCGGAUGCGUGCAAGCAAUGUUUUGGCUGUUAAUGCUAUUCACGGAAGUGAGUAGUGUUAAUGGUUGAGAGCAUUAUUUGCAUAAAAGGUGGCAUAUGCUGCCGUUUGAGGAUGAGCCUGCGUCCUAUUAGUUAGUUGGUGAGGUAAUGGCUUACCAAGGCGAUGAUAGGUAGGCGGCCUUAACGGGUGGUCGCCCACACUGGGAUUGAGAGACGGCCCAGACUCCUACGGGAGGCAGCAGUCGAGAAUAGUCUACAAUGGACGGAAGUCUGAUAGUGCGACGCCGCGUGAACGAAGAAUCCCUUCGGGGUGUAAAGUUCUUUUAUACGUGAGCAGUGCCCUUUAUAUGAAUAGUAUAGAGGGAGGGAUUUAAGCGUAUGAAUAAGCAACGGCUAACUCCGUGCCAGCAGCCGCGGUAACACGGGGGUUGCAAGCGUUGUCCGGAAUUACUAGGCGUAAAGUGCAGGUAGGCGGAUAGAUAAGUUUAAGGUUAAAGGCUACGGCUUACCCGUAGUAAGGCGUUAGAUACUGUUUAUCUGGAAUGCGGUUGAGGGAGACAGAAUUCCUGGUGUAGCGGUGGAAUGCGCAGAGAUCAGGAGGAAUACCCGAAGGCGAAUGCAGUCUUCUAAGCCCGA
rnacentral:rRNA from 1 species